rnacentral:rRNA from 1 species
ACAGCGAUGUAUGGAGCGGACUAGUACUAAUCGGUCGAGGACUUAACCAA